UCCACACUCGUUUACCUCUUGGGAUACAAAUGAUGAAAGUUAUCUCAUAGAGGGAGGGGACUCUCCCUUGGACGUGUUAGUUAUUGUUGGGCCUAAGUUUGUUUUGGACCUCUGUUUAGUGCAGGGAUAAAGAUUGCAACGAGAAGAGAAAGUCACGGUUGAAGACUUACAGACGUACACGUGUGCGGUGGAGAGGAGAAUUAGGGUUACAAGAUGAAAAGAGGAAUACGAAAGAUAGAGGGGAAGAAUCACUUUACCUUUUCUUUCUUUACUUCUUCUUUGUUCUCUCUGUGUUGCAAAAUAACCCUAAUGUGGUUUUUCCUUUCCUUUAUGGUUUGAUUUCAGUAUAUAGAACUCAUUGUAAUGAGAAGAUUAAGGAGGAGAAGAAGGAUGCUGCAAGUAUUUAUGUGGUUCGGCCAAGAUUACGGCCUACGUCCAGGAGAAGGAUCUUUCUUUAUAUUGAUGAAGAUAAGCAUACAUAUUUCACUCUCUUUUUAUUUUUUUUCUUUUGCUUUCUAUUUCACUUACUUGAUAGAAUGUAACAAUACAUAUUUAUAGGUGGUUACACAACAGAAGUAGUUAGAAAGGAGAAAAAUAGAAAAAGAAAAAAAAAAGGCUUGUGAAUUUUUGUUAGGAUUCAUUUUGUUUUACAAUCUCCACCUUGAAUCCAACUAGAAAAUUAUUUUAAAUCCUUUCAUUUAAUUCCUUUCCAACUGAUCUAUCCUUUUUAAGGUAGGUCGAAACCUAUAAGCUCAAAGUAUUUCUGCAACUUCAGGGAUGAGACCGGCUUAGUAAGUAUAUCAGCGGCAUUCUCAGAGGGAUAAAGAUUACAAGGAGGAGAGAAAGCCACGGUUGAAGACUUGCAGACGUACACGUGUGCGGUGGAGAGGAGAAUUAGGGUUACAAGAUGAAAAGAGGAAUACGAAAGACAGAGGAGAAGAAUCACUUUACCUUUUCUUUCUUUACUUCUUCUUUGUUCUCUCUGUGUUGCAAAAUAACCCUAAUGUGGUUUUUCCUUUCCUUUAUAGUUUGAUUUCAGUAUAUAGAACUCAUUGUAAUGAGAAGAUUAAGGAGAAGAAGAAGGAUGUUGCAAGUAUUUACGUGGUUCGGCCAAGAUAACGGCCUACGUCCACGGGAAGGAUCUUUAUUUAUAUUGAUGAAGAUAAGCAUACAUAUUUCACUCUCUUUUUA